rnacentral:rRNA from 1 species
CGCGGCCUAUCAGCUUGUUGGUGGGGUAACGGCCCACCAAGGCAUCGACGGGUAGCUGGUCUGAGAGGACGAUCAGCCACACUGGGACUGAGACACGGCCCAGACUCCUACGGGAGGCAGCAGUGGGGAAUCUUGCGCAAUGGGCGAAAGCCUGACGCAGCAACGCCGCGUGGGGGAUGAAGGCUCUCGGGUUGUAAACCCCUUUCAGCAGGGACGAAUCAAGACGGUACCUGCAGAAGAAGCCCCGGCUAACUACGUGCCAGCAGCCGCGGUAACACGUAGGGGGCAAGCGUUGUCCGGAUUUAUUGGGCGUAAAGAGCUCGUAGGCGGCUGAGUAAGUCGGGUGUUAAAUCCCCAGGCUCAACCUGGGACACCACCCGAUACUGCUCUGGCUAGAGUCCGGUAGGGGAGCGUGGAAUCCCUGGUGUAGCGGUGAAAUGCGCAGAUAUCAGGAGGAACACCAGCGGCGAAGGCGGCGCUCUGGGCCGGAACUGACGCUGAGGAGCGAAAGCGUGGGUAGCAAACAGGAUUAGAUACCCUGGUAGUCCACGCCGUAAACGUUGGGCACUAGGUGUGGGGUCUAUUCAACGGACUCCGUGCCGUAGCUAACGCAUUAAGUGCCCCGCCUGGGGAGUACGGA